rnacentral:tRNA from 1 species
GCCUGGGCAGCUCAGUCGGUUGAGCGUCUGACUUUGGCUCAGGUCAUGAUCUCAUUGUCUGUGAGUUCGAGCCCCGCUUCAGGCU